rnacentral:rRNA from 1 species
AUUGAACGCUGGCGGCAUGCCUUACACAUGCAAGUCGAACGGUAACAGCACUUCGGUGGCUGACGAGUGGCGAACGGGUGAGUAAUACAUCGGAACGUGCCCGAGAGUGGGGGAUAACGCAGCGAAAGCUGUGCUAAUACCGCAUACGAUCUACGGAUGAAAGCAGGGGACCGGCAAGGCCUUGCGCUCAUGGAGCGGCCGAUGGCAGAUUAGGUAGUUGGUGGGAUAAAAGACUUACCAAGCCGACGAUCUGUAGCUGGUCUGAGAGGACGACCAGCCACACUGGGACUGAGACACGGCCCAGACUCCUACGGGAGGCAGCAGUGGGGAAUUUUGGACAAUGGGCGAAAGCCUGAUCCAGCCAUGCCGCGUGCAGGAUGAAGGCCUUCGGUUGUAAACUGCUUUUGUACGGAACGAAAGGUACUUUCUAAUAAAGAAGGCUCAUGACGGUACCGUAAGAAUAAGCACCGGCUAACUACGUGCCAGC